UUUUUUUUAGAAAGAAGCACCUGCCUUGCCUCCUUCCCUCCUUUGCCUGUCCAAAGGUGAAUGAUAUGAGUCGGGCAGUGUGCAUGUCUUCCCAGAAGAAAAAAUGAGGCUCAGAUGUGACUCGGUGUCCCCGGUGAGUGGGUGCAUCAUAAAUGUCAGACAUUGACUGCACCGAAAAGCCUUCUUGGGCUGUCUUCACCGUCUUGUUCUUGGCUUUGGACUCCUGAGCUGCACAAUAAGGAUGUGCAUGGUGCUGCUGACCGUAUGCUCCCCCGACAGUUCCAGGAAGGUGCAGAGUGCUGACAGCCACGCCCUGGAGCUUGCGCUUGCCAGUGCUUACUCUCAGAACUGACUCCUGAGGGAAGGCAAGUGUUUGAAUUGACUUUCUCCAAGGUUCUCACUCUUAGGAAGAUGCAGGUGGAGUUAUCUGUGAUUCUCCCUGUAGGUCAGUGUCUCUGGGAUGCCUUCCCCUUCCUUGACCUCCAUGGGGCCUUCCUCAGCUGAUCACUCACUGUUCCUGCCUCCCAGCCGAUGGCUCUGAUUCUCAAUGGCUUCUGCAUAGUGAAUGCUGUCAGGCAAUCUUCCUGGAUAUCUCCUUCACGACGUUGCUCCUUCUGCCUGAGAAUCUGUAACGAGCACGGAAGGUCUCUGGAUGUUGUGGGGACAUGCUGGGUUGUUCUGAUGGGCCUUUUGGGGGCUCCUGUCCGGUGCCCCGGGAAUGUCUGUGUGGGAGGACUUGGUGUGGCAAUCUGGUUGGAAGGGAGGGGUUACUGUUGUAGAAAGCACACCAUCUUUACCUCCUGCGUCGUCAUAAAGCCAUGAAAAGAGUAAAAGUUUCUAAAGGUGAUUUUAUUAGAGUGCUUCACAGUCCAGCUACAGAACAUCCACAUCCAACGACUGUCAACAAGGGCUUUGUCAGCUCCCACAGCUAAAACACACCAAGGAAGUUCAGGCAUCUGGGUUGAUUUUCUCCAAAGCUCUUGAUCCUAUGAGGCUGCAGGUCGAGUUAUCUGUGAUGCUCCCUGUGGGUCAGGUUAAUUCUCAGCCUGCUUCCCUCAUGGUGAUAAAGUGGCUGCCAGCACCUCCUGGACCAUGAGCAUCCUUGUUCACAUGCAGGAGGAGGGAGACAUCUGCCCUCACGGCAGGCCGGGGUUUGAGAGUGAACCUUCCCCUAAACAUAGAGCAAAGCCCCAAGUUUCCCUCUGAAAGGAUUCAUUUAGGUUUUUCGUCCAUCCUCGAAACCACAUCUACAAUAAGAGAAGUCACUGCAGGUGCCCGGGGUGCCCUCCUGGAGCCUUGGGGGUGUGAGCACCUACCCCACAGGCCAUUGCUGAGUGACCGUGGGUUGGUGGGGGAGCCCUGUGUCACCACAGCGUAAGAUGGAGAAACCACAUCACAGGGGAGCAACGCUAAGGGAUGGCCUGACCGAGAGGUAGGUGGAGACUUUGUAUGUGUGGGGUACACACACCCCAGCUCCUGCCCAGCCCCAAAGGCUGUUAACUGGGCAUGAAAGUGCUGGCCCAGGGCUGGGUGCAGGCUCAUGUCUGUAAUUCUAGCAUUUUGGGAGGCCAAGGUGGA
rnacentral:lncRNA from 1 species